GGAAGUUGAGGAUGUUGAUCGGUUUUGGGUUGUAAAGCGGACUAAACGUGCAGCAGCAGCAGGGCGAGCUGAAUUAUCUACUAGGGCAAUAGUUGGUGGAGGAGCUGCCUCAUCUUCCGCAGCAGAUGCUGAGCGUUGAAGGAGUUGAGGUGCCUGCCUGGGAAGAUGUGGAGCGACCAUCACAAGCUGGCAGGUUAAGGGCAUCACCAAGGCGGUUUGUGAAGUUCAACAGCUUGCUAUCCCCGCCACAGAAGUCAGAGCUAGU